AUGGAAAAUAUGAAAGAAAAUUUGAUAAUGUUGGUGUCAAAUUUGUUUACAAACACACAAAAAAAAAUCAACCUUUGAAAUUAGAGGUCCAGUGAAACCUUAUCCAGGCUACUCUGUGGUCUUUUUUGUAGAAGGAUUUUCCAGAGCAGAUAUUAGCUGGCGCUGGGACUAAAGCAAUAAUAUAUAUUCAUUGUUAACUUAUUAAAUGAAUGAAAAUGUUCUUUUAACACAAUUUUCAAAUCAAUAUAGUGGACUGUAUAAGAUAGCAACAUAAAAAUUUUUUUGCAUGAUGAAAUGAAAGUAUUAAAUAAAUCUAAACACAAUUUGAAUACUUGAA